ACGCAAUACCGCGAGGUGGAGCAAAUCUAUAAAAUAUGUCCCAGUUCGGAUUGUUCUCUGCACCUCGAGAGCAUGCAGCCGGAAUCGCUAGUAAUCGUAGAUCAGCCAUGCUACGGUGAAUACGUUCCCGGGUCUUGUACUCACCGCCCGUCACACCAUGGGAGUUGAUUUCACGCGAAGCCGGAAUACUAAACUAGUUACCGUCCACAGUGGAAUCAGCGACUGGGGUGAAGUCGUAACAAGGUAACCG
rnacentral:rRNA from 1 species